rnacentral:lncRNA from 1 species
UUUUAUUCAUUUUUUUUAUUCUGUUUUGUUUUUAAUUAAUAAAAAUAUUUUAUUUAUUCAUAAAAAUACCAAAAAAUAUUUUUUACUUUCCUUAAUGUUUUAUUUAAUUUAUUUAAUUUUUAUUUUUAUAUUUUAUUUAAUGUUAAUAUUUUAUUUCAAUUAUUUAUUUCAAAUGGUUCAUUUUGGCACACAUAUUUUU